AGAGUUUCGAGUCCUCGGCGUCAGGAUGAACGCUGGCGGCGUGCCUAACACAUGCAAGUCGAACGAAGACGCUUUUCCCGAAUUUUCGGAGGUAGGGGAGGAGUGACUGAGUGGCGGACGGGUGAGUAACGCGUGGGAACCUGCCCUGUACCGGGGGAUAACAGCCGGAAACGGCUGCUAAUACCGCAUAAGCGCACAGUGCCGCAUGGCACGGUGUGAAAAACCACGGUGGUACAGGAUGGCCCCGCGUCUGAUUAGUUGGUUGGCAGGGUAACGGCCUACCAAGACGGCGAUCAGUAGCCGGCCUGAGAGGGUGAACGGCCACACUGGGACUGAGACACGGCCCAGACUCCUGCGGGAGGCAGCAGUGGGGAAUAUUGCACAAUGGGGGAAACCCUGAUGCAGCGACGCCGCGUGAGCGAGGAAGUAUUUCGGUAUGUAAAGCUCUGUCAGCAGGGAAGAAGAAUGACGGUACCUGAAGAAGAGGCACCGGCUAAAUACGUG
rnacentral:rRNA from 1 species